UACCCUUGACAUGUACGGAAGCCCAGCGAGAGCUGGGUGUGCCCGAAAGGGAGCCGUAACACAGGUGCUGCAUGGCUGUCGUCAGCUCGUGUCGUGAGAUGUUGGGUUAAGUCCCGCAACGAGCGCAACCCUUGUCCCUAGUUGCUACGCAAGGGCACUCUAGGGAGACUGCCGGUGACAAACCGGAGGAAGGUGGGGAUGACGUCGAAUACGUAAC
rnacentral:misc_RNA from 1 species